ACAAUGAAGAGUUUGAUCCUGGCUCAGGAUGAACGCUAGCUACAGGCUUAACACAUGCAAGUCGAGGGGCAUCAGGAAGAAAGCUUGCUUUCUUUGCUGGCGACCGGCGCACGGGUGAGUAACACGUAUCCAACCUGCCCUUUACUCGGGGAUAGCCUUUCGAAAGAAAGAUUAAUACCCGAUGGCAUAAUGAUUCCGCAUGGUUUCAUUAUUAAAGGAUUCCGGUAAAGGAUGGGGAUGCGUUCCAUUAGGUUGUUGGUGAGGUAACGGCUCACCAAGCCUUCGAUGGAUAGGGGUUCUGAGAGGAAGGUCCCCCACAUUGGAACUGAGACACGGUCCAAACUCCUACGGGAGGCAGCAGUGAGGAAUAUUGGUCAAUGGGCGCUAGCCUGAACCAGCCAAGUAGCGUGAAGGAUGAAGGCUCUAUGGGUCGUAAACUUCUUUUAUAUAAGAAUAAAGUGCAGUAUGUAUACUGUUUUGUAUGUAUUAUAUGAAUAAGGAUCGGCUAACUCCGUGCCAGCAGCCGCGGUAAUACGGAGGAUCCGAGCGUUAUCCGGAUUUAUUGGGUUUAAAGGGAGCGUAGGUGGACUGGUAAGUCAGUUGUGAAAGUUUGCGGCUCAACCGUAAAAUUGCAGUUGAUACUGUCAGUCUUGAGUACAGUAGAGGUGGGCGGAAUUCGUGGUGUAGCGGUGAAAUGCUUAGAUAUCACGAAGAACUCCGAUUGCGAAGGCAGCUCACUGGACUGCAACUGACACUGAUGCUCGAAAGUGUGGGUAUCAAACAGGAUUAGAUACCCUGGUAGUCCACACAGUAAACGAUGAAUACUCGCUGUUUGCGAUAUACAGUAAGCGGCCAAGCGAAAGCAUUAAGUAUUCCACCUGGGGAGUACGCCGGCAACGGUGAAACUCAAAGGAAUUGACGGGGGCCCGCACAAGCGGAGGAACAUGUGGUUUAAUUCGAUGAUACGCGAGGAACCUUACCCGGGCUUAAAUUGCAGUGGAAUGAUGUGGAAACAUGUCAGUGAGCAAUCACCGCUGUGAAGGUGCUGCAUGGUUGUCGUCAGCUCGUGCCGUGAGGUGUCGGCUUAAGUGCCAUAACGAGCGCAACCCUUAUCUUCAGUUACUAACAGGUCAUGCUGAGGACUCUGGAGAGACUGCCGUCGUAAGAUGUGAGGAAGGUGGGGAUGACGUCAAAUCAGCACGGCCCUUACGUCCGGGGCUACACACGUGUUACAAUGGGGGGUACAGAAGGCAGCUAGCGGGUGACCGUAUGCUAAUCCCAAAAGCCUCUCUCAGUUCGGAUCGAAGUCUGCAACCCGACUUCGUGAAGCUGGAUUCGCUAGUAAUCGCGCAUCAGCCACGGCGCGGUGAAUACGUUCCCGGGCCUUGUACACACCGCCCGUCAAGCCAUGGGAGCCGGGGGUACCUGAAGUACGUAACCGCAAGGAUCGUCCUAGGGUAAAACUGGUGACUGGGGCUAAGUCGUAACAAGGUAGCCGUACCGGAAGGUGCGGCUGGAACACCUCCUUU
rnacentral:rRNA from 2 species